GUGUUCACUUCUGCAGCACAUAUGCUAAAAUUGGAAUGACACACAGAAGAUCAGCAUGGCUUCUGAGAGUGGAUGACAUGCAAAUUUGUGAAGCAUUCCAUAUUUAC